rnacentral:rRNA from 1 species
UGGAUUAGUGGCGGACGGGUGAGUAACGCGUGGAUAACCUGCCGUAUACAGGGGGAUAACACUUAGAAAUAGGUGCUAAUACCGCAUAACGGGGGGAGCCGCAUGGCACCCCCUGAAAACUCCGGUGGUACAGGAUGGGCCCGCGUCUGAUUAGCUGGUUGGCAGGGUAACGGCCUACCAAGGCGACGAUCAGUAGCCGGCCUGAGAGGGCGGACGGCCACACUGGGACUGAGACACGGCCCAGACUCCUACGGAAGGCAGCAG